GGCAGUGUAGCUCAGUAGCAGAGCACCUGCCUCACGGGCACAAGAGCCUGAGUUCAAUCCCCAGCACCCA
rnacentral:tRNA from 1 species